CGUCCUUUCGUGGAUGGUGGUGGGGUACCGCCCGUAUAUUGAGAACUACACAGUGGACGCGAGCAUCUUAGAUUCACCGGUUUUCCGGUGGAUCACAAAGAUCUAUUUAUAGAUCAUUGGUCAAUUCUGUCUCCUCUAGGGGAGGCGAAACGAUUCAAUCUCAUGUGAUUUCAAGAUUCUAAGAGCAAACGGUGGAUGCCUUGGCAUCUGGAGCCGAAGAAGGACGUAUAAAUCUGCGAUAAGCCUCGGGGAGCUGAUAAUAGAGCUGUGAUCCGAGGAUCUCCGAAUGGGGAAACCCCGCCAGGCCCUUUGGGUGACCUGGUGACUCCCGCCUGAAUAUAUAGGGCGGGUAGAGGGAACGUGGGGAAGUGAAA
rnacentral:misc_RNA from 1 species